rnacentral:rRNA from 1 species
UACAGAGGUCUCAAGCGUUGUUCGGAUUCAUUGGGCGUAAAGGGUGCGUAGGUGGCGCGUUAAGUCGGGUGUGAAAUCUCGGAGCUUAACUCCGAAAUUGCAUUCGAUACUGCCGUGCUCGAGGACUGGAGAGGAGACUGGAAUUCAUGGUGUAGCAGUGAAAUGCGUAGAGAUCAUGAGGAAGACCAGUGGCGAAGGCGGGUCUCUGGACAGUUCCUGACACUGAGGCACGAAGGCCAGGGGAGCAAACGGG